ensembl:lncRNA
CGGUAACAGAGCGCGCAUUCACAGGGCCCCCACUCUGGUGUGAGCGUUCUGUGAUCGCCCUUGUAUACAAGUAAAUGCUGCAGCGUCUGUGUGUUUCUACCCUUAGACUCUUAGCUGAAGAAGUGUCUUUAGAAUAAAUCUCUUGACAAUUAUUUUGGUCCUUCGAGAGCCGGAUCAGAAAUAUCAGAACUGUUAUCUGUGACUCUGUUCCAGGAUCUGGCACACUGUUUCCUGAUGCCGUGGAGCCAGCACCGAAGACUGUGCACAGCCCUUUUAGACGAGGAGGACCCGGGACGUUUGAGUCCGGGCUGAUCUGGUCCACGGCGGCGGGAUUCAGUCUGAUGAUCCGAACCACCAGUGAGACGUCUGAGGGUGAGAAACACUAUUUUGAUAUAUAAAACCGCCGAGAAGGUUUUCAGAAAUGCGCAAAAUAGGUUUGCUGUAGCUGGAAUUACUUCAUGAAAUGUGCAAAAUAGGUUAGCUGUAGCCGCAAUUAUUUCGAGAAACGCGUAAGAUAGGUUAGAAGUAGCCGUAAUUACUUUGUGAAAAAUAAAAUAGGGUUAGGAUUCGCCGCAAGGAACCGAAUUAGACCUAGGUUUUAGAGGUAGCCGUAAUUACUUCGUAACAAAUUGUAAAAGCGCGCAAAUGUCUAUGUGUGUGUAUGUGUCUGGAAGUAAGUUGAUUUUACAGCACAACACACUGCUGAACUACUUCUAUUUUUGUUUUUUACUGAGGCUCAAGUUCUGGUGACAAAGGAGAACGGUUGGGUUUCAUCUCGUAAAACUGAUACCGCUUCAUUUUUUAGAAGUGAAGUCGAAGGCCGUAUCAGUAAACCACUCUGAAGUCAAGCGUGCCAGUGACGGCCCAGCAAAAUCUUUGAACAUGGAGAAUAAACAAGCAAAAUUAACACCUGAUGAGGAAUGUUUAGAAAAACAACAAACCGGAGCAGGAGUAAUCCAAAAGAAAGGGAGAGGAAUGCACAGGGCAGGAGCAGGGGGUAGAGGCAGGCCUAGACACACAUCAAGCAGUGGUUUUAGUACUACAUGCUGGAAGUGUGGAAAAGAGGGACAUUUUGUACGUGACUGUAAGACACAGAGAAGCAGUUCAGACUAGGAAGAACAUAAUAAUCCCUCAUCAAGUAAAAGAUUAGAGAUCAAAGUUUAAAAAGGGCUGGAUACAGACCCAACUGAAUACAUAUAAACACAAGAGUAAUAAAGUGGAAUAAACAAAAGGUUAAAUUAAAUUAGAGCUUAUCUCUACUGUAUUCAAACUAAUAAUAGGAAGGAUAACAACCUGUCAGUUGGUAUUAACAAUGAAACAACGACCAUGCCCAGAGUGAAUAGAAUGAAUGAAAGCAGACAAUUCACACGAAAACAUAUUAAAUAAAACAGAGAGAUGCAUAAGGUAUGUUAAGGCUGUGUCAUUGUUCAGCCAAGGAAAAGGGAAUUGUCUCCAGCUUGGGAGGGGGUGAAACUGCAGAUCACCCCCAGCCCCUGGUGGAUACAAAAUAAAAUAUAAAUAAAAUAUUGUAAUAUAUUAUUUCUGUUAUAUAAAAAAAGAUAAUAACAUUAAUAAUGAAAUAAUAUUAAUAUGAAGAGGCACCUCAGUCAGUUAUGAUGUGAGGUGGAUAAUUGUUAGAAGUAGUCUGCAUCAAGCUUAAGGUUGCUCAAAUUCAGUACAAUGACAUAUGAGAUGGAGAAAAUAAAGAAAAUAUCUAAACUAAUUAAGUGCAUAGAGGCACUUGACCUGCUUGAAAACCUGUCAUCCUAGAUAAGACAUUGCUGAACUAUAGAGCACACCUAUACUAACAACUAAUAAGCUUUUUACUCAUAAAACUCAGAGCAACAAAAUUGACUCAAACACUGGUUAUUAACUUCUAAAAAUUAAAGUCACUUUCCACUUUUUGCCACUUUUCUGAAAAUCCAUCAAAUAAAAAUCAAACUGUAAUCUGCUAAAAAAAGAGGAAAGGCUAAAACAAAAACAACUUCCUUUGUGCCUUUUGAAGAUCAGUUCAUUUUCUGCUCACUGAACUGUUGACAGAAAGAGAAAUUUGAAGCUUUUCGUUGUAAAUGUUUGGAGACUUCCAGCAUCCAUCUGUCCACACAGACUGUGCUGUUUGACUUGCUAAGUUAAGUUAGCUGGUGGCUGCUGCAGAGUCCACUGCAGAUAAACAGCUUAAAGUUAGACAAACUUUUAAGGUGGGCAGGAAACUGAGAAAGCUCUAGAGUAAGAUGGCCGACGCGUCAAACAGUAUGUGGUAGUAAUGACGACCUCUGUAAAGCUGUUUUGUGUAUGUUUUUUUUGUUUUUUGUUUUUUGUUUUUUUCCUAUUGUACAAUGUACCAAAAUACAUCGCAGAACUUAAGCAGACCCACCAAAAAUGUACAAUUAUAGGUGAUGAGGAACAAAGCAGCCAUCAAUCAAAGAAGAAAGGAAAGGCACAGUAAAAGAAGUCUCCAGCAGCAUACAAUUAUCUUAAUGUCCUUCCUUAUAAAGUAAGAUAUAACUAAAUUAAAAAGAAAGGAACAAAAAAAAUAGUAAUAAUACUAAAAGAAAACGAAAAAAAAGGAAAACGUACAGUCUACGCACAUACAGUCUAUCUACAUUAGCUUAGAAGCAGCAUCAAAAAAUCAAGUAAGGUGUGAGCUUUAUUAACAUUACAUUUGUCUAAUGAAGCCUUCAAUAAAGAGACUUCAUUUUUAAAAGCAGCAAAGAUUGGAGUAAUUUUCAAGAAGCGACAUUUAUGAAUGAAGAAUUUUGCGACUAUAAAUAGGUUGUUAAUCCCAAAUUCUAUUUUCUUAUUUUCUGUUUGUAGGCCAACUCUAAUUACUUGAAAGGUUAGAGAAGGGCAGUCAAUAUUUUUAGAGGUUAACCAGUACUGGAAACCAUCCCAAAAAGAUCUGGUGCUUUCACAUGAGUAGAAAAGGUGCUCUGUAGUCUCAAUAUCAGUGUUGCAAAAUGUGCAUGUGUUCGUAUCUAUAUUGAAUUUCUUGUGAAGAUAAUCCUUGGACGGGUAUAUGGCAUUUAACACUUUAAAGUGAAUUUCUUUAGCUUUUGGCGGAAUUGGAAAGGAAAGAUACUUGGUCAAAAACCUAAAAUUAUAAUCUUUAAACAAAUAUUUUCUUGUUAAUUGAGAAGGAAAAAGUUGCUUGGUUAGAAUUGUCCUUAAAAAUUUGUUAUUGCAAGUCUUUCCUUUAAAUUGACGAUCAUCAAUAAAUAAGGAUGGUUCACGGAUUAUAAAGGAAGAAUAGGUUAAACUGGCUUUAGUCAUCUGAAUCAUUGCAGGGGGAAUGGCUUUCACAACUUUAAUGAAUUUACUUUGAGUACAUACUAAGCCAUAAUUAUCAAUAAAUUUAUUAUACGAUAAUACAUUGCCGUCAUUGUCUAAAAGGUGUAGAACGGUCCAAAUUCCGUGAUCCAUCCAAUCCUUAUAAAAGAAGGAUUUUCUUUUUAUCAAUAUACAUCGGUUGUUCCAGAUCGAAUUUGUAUGUGGAGAAAAAUUGUGCUUGUAAAUCAUUUUCCAGUACUGGAGAACCUGUUUAUGAAAAUUGGAUAAUUUAAUUGGUAAUUUGGAGAUUUCAAAAUCACACUUUAAGAGAAAUUCAAUGCCACCAAGCUUCUCAAAGAUUACUUUAGGGAAGUAAAACCAAAUAUUAUUUGAGUUAUUUAUGAAAGACUGCAACCAUUUAAGUUUGAUGGAACCAUCCAAUGCUUCAAAAUCAAUCACAUUCAAUCCGCCUUCUUCUAAAGACUUCACUACAUCAUUCUUCCUAAUAUAAUGUUGCUUAUUUCUCCAAAUGUAAUUAAAGUUAAUUUGAUUUAUAUUCUUGAUUAGUCUAUUGGAAACAUAUAAACAUUGAGAUGGAUAAAUCAGUCGCGAAAUACCUUCUGUUUUGGUAAGUAGGACACGUCCAAAGAUGGAAAGGUCUCUUUGUAACCAGCUGAUUAGGAUCUUUUUAGAUUUUUGGGUAAUAUGCUCAAGAUUUAAGUUUUCUCUAUUAUUUAUAUUCUUUGAGAUUAUAAUACCCAAAUAUUUAAUUUCAGUUUUUACAGCUAUGUUAAGAGAGAUGCUGGGUUUACCAUCAUGAAUAGUUAAUAUUUCACAUUUUCUAAUAUUCAGGUACAAACCAGAGGACUUUGAAAAUAGUGAAAUUUCAUUUAGUGCGAAAGGAACCUGUAACAUGUUCUUUAAAAACAGUGUAGUAUCAUCUGCUAGCUGACUUAUAAUCAGUGGGGCUCCCAUCAAGUUCAGUGGUUGAAUAUUUGGAUUGUGUUUUAUGAAAAUAGCCAAAAGUUCUGUUACGAUAAUGAAAAGUAGCGGAGAAGCUGGACACCCCUGACGGAUUCCUCGACUAAUGUUAAAUCAUUUAGAUGUUCCAAAAGGUAAAGAAAUAGAACUAUUGAUAUCGGAGUAUAACAAAGAAAUUAAAUCUAUGAAUUUUUUACCAAAACCAAAAUACUGUAAAGCUUUAAAAAUAAAAAGAUGCUCGACCGUAUCAAAUGCUUUAUAGAAGUCUAAAAAAAGAAUCACACCAUCAUCUUCAAUUAAGUGAUUAUAGUCCAAUAAAUCCAAAACUAAUCUAAUAUUAUUGUGGAUAGAACGAUUCUUAAGGAACCCAGAUUGUGUUUCACUAAUAAUCUGAUCUAAACCGUCCUUUAAUCUAUUUGCAAUAACAUGAGCAAGAAUUUUAUAAUCUGUAUUCAAUAGAGUAAUUGGACGUAAAUUAUCGAUUAAUCUUUUAUCUUUACCAGGUUUGGGAAUAAGGGAGAUAAGACCCUGUUUCAUUGUCGUUGCUAAUGAUUCAUUGCUAAUGAUUUCCCUAGUUUUGAAGAAAAAUUCUUUUACUUCUUUCCAGAAGAAUUUAUAGAAGAUGGCAGUCAAGCCGUCCUGACCAGGAGCUUUGUUCAUUUUCAGUUUGUUUAAGGCUUGAUCUAAGUCAUCCAUUAAUAUGUCAGAAUCACAAAUUUCUCUAAAUACAGAAUCAAUUUUUGGAAUAUAAGGUUCAAUCUGAUUAAAAAAGGCAAUUGAGUCAGUAGUUAAAUAUUUAGAUGAGUAUAAAUUUGAAUAGAACAUAUGUAUUUCUUCUGCUAUAGUCUUAUGGUUUGUGCAUUCUUCCUCAUUUACAAUUAAGGUAUUAAUAGAUUUCUUCUCUUGCCUCCGUUUCUCCAGAUUGUAGAAAUAUGAAGUACUCUUUUCACCUUCUUCUAUCCAUUUUGCACGAGCCCUAAUGUAUGCUCCAUGAGCCUUUUUCUUGUAUAGAUCAUCUAAUUGAGCCUGUAAAGACAAAAGAGAUUUCUUCUCCGCCUCUGACAUAAACUGUCUAUUACAAUAGUUAUUUAUAUUGUAAAGUAAUUUACUUUCAUACUCUUUUUGUUGUUUACUUCCCAUUUUACUAAACGUAAUUGAAAAUUCUCUAACUUUAAACUUAAAAAAUUCCCAUCUGUUUGUGUAAGUACCAAUUGUUCCAUCAUUGUAAAUUUUAUGGAUGAGAGCUUUAAUCAUCUUAACAUACCCAUCAUCAAUUAACAGAUCUGCAUUAAAUUUCCAGUAAUCUUUUUUAAAUUGUGUUUUAUUUUCAGAGUUAAGUUUAAGAGUAAUAGUACUGUGAUCUGUCAGUGGGGCUGCUGAGAUAGACACAUGUGAAACAUAUCUAUACAGUAUAGACGAGCCCAACCAGAGAUCUAUUCUGGACAUAUUAUUACCAUUUGGUUUAAUCCAAGAGAAUUGAGUGACUCCAGGGUUUUUCUCUCUCCAUAUGUCACUUAAAUUGUUUGAAUUAAUGAAAUUUGAUAAAGUUGGAUUCCACUGAUUAAUACCAUAUCUAGGAGGGUUUCUAUCCUGCCAUUCGUUUGGAACAAGAUUAAAGUCACCACCUAAUAAUACAUGGUCUAACAACUAAUAAGCUAAACCCUGUAUAAACCCUGUAUUCAACAGCUAAAGCUACACAAUUGAGAAGCUGAAUUAAAUAUGAGGUCACUGCUAAGCUGAUGAGCAGGUUACACUUUUUUUUUUUUUUUUUUUUUUUUUUUUUUUACAGCAGGAGCUGCAGGAGAGCUCUAACAUGCAGCUGUCUGUGAGCUCAGUUUUUUCCCCUCACACUUCUGAUUUGUCUUUGGCAGCAGCCUUUUUGCAUCCUGACUUAUGUGUGUAAAGCGUUCAUGCCAUCAGCAACUUGUUUUGUUUUGUUUUGUUGGUUUGGAAAAUGAAUAAAUUUGUGAUCACACUUGUGGAUCACAGUGACACAUAAUGAUUAGGCAUAUGAUUUACUAAUGCAGAUGUAAUAAGUUUAUUCUAAAAUUCAAGGAAAACAAACAAGAACAACAUCUUCAGUUGUGUCUUGUUGUUGUUCUUUGUGUAGUGAGCUGAGGUUUUUUUUUUGUUUUGUUUGUAUUUUUGUUUGCUUUUUGAAAUGUUGCUUGAGUGAUGAGUACUGUAACUUCUGAAGUAGCUCUCACCAUGCGUCCUUGAUGAUGAUAAGUCCAGAGCCAGCUGAGAGCUGGGUUGUUUGUUUUGUUUUAGGUGACAAGGCAGAAAAAUUAGAACUUAGUUUCUUGUUUUAAAAAAACAAAAAAAGAAAAAAAAAGAAAAAGGGAGGUUUUGUGUUUCUCAACCAAGAACAACUACAAUUUCAUUUUCUGUUUUUGAGAAAGGAGAAUUUAAAAUAAUGAUAAUAAUAAUAAUAAUAAUAAUAAUAAUAAUAAUAAUGAUAAUAAUAAUAAUAAUAAUAAAACAAGCAAAGAGUGAUGUUUUGUUUAAGUGGUGAAGAAAGCUGAUACUGCAACAUACCGUCUGCGAGCAAUAAAUGAAAUCAUCUUAUUUAUCUUUAAAUAAACUCCAAUUAUGGAGACCUGAAGUCACAUGCUUAGGGCACACCCUCUCAGGUGAAGGCAGAAAGCUACUAAACAAAGAAAAGAAGCUAUACAAAAUGCGCCACAGCCACAAAACUAAGCAUUCACAUUCUUUCUGACUCUUUGUGAGCCUGAGUUAUGACCUUGGCUCCCUGUUUUUCUGCUUCCACCAAGGGUGGGGGUGACGCUCCCAUGAUAUGUGCUCUGUUCUCCUUACUAUCACAAAGAGGCCCCUACUCUCUGAAUACAAUAUUCUCUUCAUAACUCAGCAGUAUGAAAUGUCAUGAAACAGUGUAACUCACUCACAGUAAAUCAGCAGUAUAGGAUAAUACAAACCUAUCUAAUAAAUCUAAUGAUUUUCACAUUCUUUUAACUCAGAAGUAUGAUGCAAACUAAAAUUACAUACUGAUUACACAAGAAGUAUGAUGUGGCCUACAGCAGUAUCAUGAUUCACUCAUUUUGAUUACAGGUAUAAUGUAAUAUAUGACAGCAUAAUAAUCUCACAACUGCUACAAGCACAUUUGCCUGUCUUAACACACGCGAGUGAAAGGCAACUGUUAAGAAAAUGCUCUUUUGGGUGAGAAAGGCCCAGAGGCCCUGCAUGCAAGCGUACUAACACACAUACAUGCAAUGAAGAACAGCUUACACUAUAGCACACACUAUACAUGCGCCUGCAUGUCUCAUUGGUGUUAAAACAGGGAAAACUUAAUAGUUUUGUUAUCAAAUGCUGAAUUUAUCCACUGCUGACAUUUAACUCUCCAGCUUGCAGGACAAUAGGUGAAACGUUUGUGAAAAUAGAAAAGAAAAAGAAAAAAAAUAAAAUAAAAGAGAGAGUCUGGUAUGACCAAGCAGUAAUCAGACAAAUUUAGUUGGUAAUACAACAAAUUGUGAGAUGUUUUCUGCUGAUUGAACAACACAAGUGAUUACUGACGAUGUUCUUAGAAUUUAAAUAUCUACCUGUGUUGUCCUGUCAACUUGGUGGGUUAUGAGUUGAUUAUAUUGUGAGGAAAAACAAAAAAAAGGGGGAGAGAAGGCUGACACAGGGCCUGGCCCGGUGUUUCUCCCCUCUCUGAAUGACACAGCCAAAACAACAUCAUUUUCCUGUUCGACUGUUUUUUGUUUUGUUUUUGUUUUUUCUCUUUAUGCUUGAUUACAGGCUGCUUUGCCGGCCCUGAAAGCCGAAGGUGACCUGGACUCCUGCUCUCCCCUCUACCAUCUUUGACGUGACCCUGACCAAAUGUUGCAGCAGCUGGACCCAUAACAACAAUCUGAAAAUGUCAACAGUGCUACAGGAAAGCGAUCUCAUGCAGCAGAGACGGAGAGCAUUAAAUCCAAGGCCCGUUUCACUACACGGGGGAGAUUUCCAGACAGCUUCAGCUGACAGAGCUGUGACGAGACGCCCAUUAAGCCCGAAUGAAAAGUAAGGCCGAGCAAAAGAAUGCUGACCUUGAUAUCUCUGCAUUAACACUGUGCAGGACAGUGAUGGACCAACACGGAUGAUCGGGCAGCAGAAGAAAGGUCGUGCCAGAGACAGGAGGAGCAACUGAGGUCAAAAGGCACCUCAGAAUGGACAAAACACAGAAGAAGAUGCAGGUUUCACCUGCGGUGAGCAUGGACACUGGAGAAAAGGAGGAGGGCAGGACCCCAGGGCACGCUUCAGGCCGUGGUUUACCCAAAACACCAGAACAGGAAAGUGAUAAACACACCAACAUACACAUCUACACACACACCAGACAAUGUACACUCAUCAAACAUGACUGAUGCCCUGAACGCCUUGAGACAGAUCCAGCAGGCCCAAAAUCAGGACUAUGUAACUAAUACAAGUUACUGGUUUUCUUGGCUUUACACUGGCUCCUGGCUACAGCUGCUAAAAAGACUACUACUGCCUUUUCACUGUGCAAUACUUUUUGUUAAUAACCAACGGUGCAAUAGACUUCAAUACUUGAAAUACUUGAAAUACUUGCAAUUCCUUUGUAUUCUUAUUCUUAUUUAUUCUAUUUAUCCCUUUUUGUAUUUUUACUUUUAUUUUGUGUUUUUGUAACAUGUAUCCUGCCAUGUUUAAAGCUCAUGAUUAACCGCAUAAUUGUUUCCACUGUUGCUGCAUACAUAGCCGUAACAAAUGAUGAUGAUGAUGACCCCGACCUGUUGGAGCAUGAAGACUUUGUGUGAUUAAUGAUGACGUGACAGAAAAUGUACAACAAGAUGUUACAUACUGAUAUCUCACUUCAAAGUUAUACUGACAACAGGAGGGAAUGUCAAUAGAAAGUUGUACUGGUAGUCAGUAUAAGCUUUUAAUGAUAUAAGUUUGCAUAUGAUAGUAUGCAAACUAUCAUAUGUAUGUAUGUAUGUUGACCUUUUGAUGACUUAGACUGUUGUCCACUACAAGACUGUUUUAUAAAUUCUUUCUCACAGCGAUAAUAGCUGAACAAGCAGGAAAGAGGAGAGCUGGACACUUUUAUCUGCGCUCACUAAACAAGAAGAGGGGCCGCGUCCUUCUGAAUCUCACAACACACACACAUACACCUGAACCACUCUUAUCUUCACUCCCUACGCACUAACAUUCUUCUUCCUAUGAAUAGACAUAUUCACUGUUGUAUUGCUUUGUAUAUAAAUAAAGACCAGAGCGGUAACAGAGCGCGCAUUCACAGGGCCCCCACUCUGGUGUGAGCGUUCUGUGAUCGCCCUUGUAUACAAUCACACCUUGUGGAGGUGGAACAUUUCUUAACAAAGGUGCUCUGGUAGGUGUAUAUAAGAAGAGCUCAACUUUCCGAGUAUCACUACAACAACUUCUUUCACUCUGAGACAGACUGCUGCAGCUUUGAAGACUAGACGUACGAACACUGAAACCAUGCUGAAGGUAGCAUUUGUGCUUGGAUGCCUCCUGAGCCUCACUCUGACUCAACCUAUGGGUAUGGCGCGCAAAAGACUUGUGCGCUCAAGCUCCGAAUCUAACUCUGGAUCAGGGGAAGCCAAUCAACAGUUAAACAAUCAACAGCUGCAGCUACUCAUACAAUUACUACUUGCCAGCUUAGCAACAACAACCACUACUACAGCUGCAACCACCGCAACAGCUGCAACCACCCCUGCUCCGGCUACAAUGUCAGGUUAAAAACUGACAUUUAGCUAUUGAAUGAAAGUCAGCAUGCAGUGAAACUGUCAAUUUGUGAUAUUUUAAUGAGAAUACAUAGUAGUGUCUACUAAAUAAAAUUUAUGAAUAGAAAAUGUGUGUUUUUCUGUUUGUAAGAAAUACAAGUACCUCAGCUUACCAUUAUAUUCCCCUUUCAAUACAGAGUUUACAUCACACUAUAUGUAAUUAAAGCAGCUAUUUAGGUGUUUACUAACGAACACUGUUGAUCUAAAAUAGAGUUUAAAUUAUGGUACAUCAAGAAUAUUACAUAAUAAACUUAAGUUUUCUCAAAUGUAGUAGAUUGUGCUUCCGAGGUCGGUACCAUUAACAUGAAAGCUACAUUCCUGGUGGGGUUUUUCCGGUGGGAACAUUCAUUGUCAAACAGUUAAGCAACGGAGGGUCAGGGGGCCAAGUUAGGACAUAAAAUGAUAGCCCGUCAGUAUGGCUCAUUAUUUAAGACCAUUUAUAUACAAGUAAGAGUUUAAGAUUAAGAUUUCAGAUUCCGAUAAGAAUUUCAAAUCACCUAUAUGGAAACCAGUCUGGAGUGGUGGAAAUUAAGAUGAGAUGUUUAACCAGAUAAACUGGAAGAGAUGGAAAGAUAAAGGUCUACGCUUCCCUGCUGCCCGUGCGAUCAAAGUUUAGAUAAGAAGAAGAAAAUGGCUGCAUGAUUUAUUAUUUUGUUAUUUUAGAUUUUAACUUUUAUUGAAGUGGUUGCCAUAAAUUUUCGGACAGCGUGCAUCAUUCAUAAUGCAAAGAACAAUGUGCCAGACGUUUCAGUCGCAGUUUAUUCAUUUUUUAGAUGUUAAUUUGUCAUAUUUUCGUAAUAAAUGAGCGUCUUUUAUAGUAACAUGACUUCAUAUUAUAUUUAAAGGGAACCCCGGCUAUUAACACAUGUUUGCGCUAAAAUAUGCACUGUCCUUUCAAUAACAUAUAUGUGGUAUUAAAAUACACCAAAUGUUUCCCUUUUAAGCACAUUUUAUAGAAAACUGAUUUACCAGUAGGCCACCAUUGUUAUUUACUUCUCAAUGCACUCUGGGUAGUGACGUCAUACGGUUGCACCGCAUCGAGUUCACAGUUAGCACUGGAAAUGAGUUCUGUUCAACCUUUCCAGUUUGAACCAGAGCAAUCCGAGAGAGAGGAUGAAAAUAGUCAACCAGUAAUUAGUUUAGAUGAAGAUGAAAACAAUCCGUCACACGAGGACGCGAGAGUGAGGGAAAACUUCUGGUGUCUAUGCGGCUACUGCUUGCCAAUGCAAUGCAUAUUACCGCUGUAAUGUAGGUGUCCACCCUAUAGUGUUUGCAAGCUGGUAAACAGAUGGAAAUACCUCGCUAUGAUUACAAAUCAGGAGUUUUAGUGGCUUAAGCAGUUAAUUUUUGCUUUGCUUUGUUUUAUUUGUUGCUUCAAGCCCUGUGUACAGGAGCUGCAUGCAAAAAGAUCUUUUGUUAAAAGGGUUGGCGUAAUAAGCAAAUGCUUCAGCCAAUACCUUUUGAUUAGCCUUGUCUUGUGCUUUCUUGCUUUGUGGUAAUCUUUAUUCUGUAUUCACUGAGAUAUUUGAAUGCUAAUCAAUAAAUCAAUAAAAAAUAAAAAAUAAAUAAUAAAUAAAACAGACAACACCCAGUCUGACAUCCUUUUUUUUUUUUUUUUUUUAAAUGAGUUGCUGUUAUAGCACAAAGGUAUAGAUAUAAAGUUUAUGUAAUAGAUAAGAAGACAAAAAUAAAUUAAAAGAACAUCAAGAGC